GCGUCUCUUUGCCUCGCUCAAUCUCCGAACGCCGAUAGAACGCCGACGUCUCCUUGCCUAUGCAACACACACA
rnacentral:rRNA from 13 species